CCGGCGCACGGGUGCGUAACGCGUAUACAAUCUACCUUGUAGAGGGGGAUAGCCCAGAGAAAUUUGGAUUAAUACCCCAUAGUAUUAUGGAACAGCAUUGUUUUAUGAUUAAACAUUUAUGGCUACAAGAUGAGUAUGCGUUCUAUUAGUUAGUAGGUAAGGUAACGGCUUACCUAGACUUCGAUAGAUAGGGGUCCUGAGAGGGAGAUCCCCCACACUGGUACUGAGACACGGACCAGACUCCUACGGGAGGCAGCAGUGAGGAAUAUUGGACAAUGGGCGAGAGCCUGAUCCAGCCAUGCCGCGUGCAGGAAGACGGCCCUAUGGGUUGUAAACUGCUUUUAUAGAGGAAGAAACCUCCCGACGUGUCGGGAUUUGACGGUACUCUACGAAUAAGGAUCGGCUAACUCCGUGCCAGCAGCCGCGGUAAUACGGAGGAUCCAAGCGUUAUCCGGAAUCAUUGGGUUUAAAGGGUCCGUAGGCGGGACAAUCAGUCAGCGGUGAAAGUCUGUGGCUCAACCAUAGAAUUGCCAUUGAUACUGUUGUUCUUGAAUACUUAUGAAGUGGUUGGAAUAUGUAGUGUAGCGGUGAAAU
rnacentral:rRNA from 1 species